AUGGGUUUGCCUUGGUAUCGUGUUCAUACUGUCGUAUUGAAUGAUCCGGGUCGAUUGCUUGCGGUGCAUAUAAUGCACACAGCUCUAGUUUCUGGUUGGGCUGGCUCAAUGGCUUUAUACGAAUUAGCAGUUUUUGAUCCCUCUGAUCCUGUUCUGGAUCCAAUGUGGAGACAAGGUAUGUUCGUAAUUCCCUUCAUGACUCGUUUAGGAAUAACGGAUUCGUGGGGUGGUUGGAGUAUUUCAGGAGGAACUGUAACAAAUCCGGGUAUUUGGAGUUAUGAAGGUGUGGCAGGUACGCAUAUUGUGUUUUCUGGCUUGUGUUUCUUGUCAGCGAUCUGGCAUUGGGUAUAUUGGGACCUAGAAAUAUUCUCUGAUGAGCGGACGGGAAAACCCUCUUUGGAUUUGCCCAAGAUCUUUGGAAUUCAUUUAUUUCUUGCAGGGGUGGCUUGCUUUGGCUUUGGGGCAUUUCAUGUAACGGGUUUGUAUGGUCCUAGGAUAUGGGUAUCCGAUCCUUAUGGACUAACUGGAAAAAUACAAGCUGUAAAUCCAGCGUGGGGUGCAGAAGGUUUUGAUCCUUUUGUUUCGGGGGGAAUAGCUUCUCAUCAUAUUGUUGCGGGUACAUUGGGUAUAUUAGCGGGCUAA
rnacentral:rRNA from 1 species